rnacentral:rRNA from 1 species
GACGAACGCUGGCGGCGUGCUUAACACAUGCAAGUCGAACGGAAAGGCCCUGCUUUUGUGGGGUGCUCGAGUGGCGAACGGGUGAGUAACACGUGAGUAACCUGCCCUUGACUUUGGGAUAACUUCAGGAAACUGGGGCUAAUACCGGAUAGGAGCUCCUGCUGCAUGGUGGGGGUUGGAAAGUUUCGGCGGUUGGGGAUGGACUCGCGGCUUAUCAGCUUGUUGGUGGGGUAGUGGCUUACCAAGGCUUUGACGGGUAGCCGGCCUGAGAGGGUGACCGGCCACAUUGGGACUGAGAUACGGCCCAGACUCCUACGGGAGGCAGCAGUGGGGAAUAUUGCGCAAUGGGCGGGAGCCUGAUGCAGCAACGCCGCGUGCGGGAUGACGGCCUUCGGGUUGUAAACCGCUUUCGCCUGUGACGAAGCGUGAGUGACGGUAAUGGGUAAAAAAGCACCGGCUAACUACGUG